rnacentral:rRNA from 1 species
CCCUUAGAUGUCCUGGGCCGCACGCGCGCUACACUGACAUGUUCAACAGGCCUCCUAGUUCGACAGGAUUUGGGAAAUCUUUGAACGCAUGUCGUGAUAGGGAUAGAUCAUUGCAAUUAUUGAUCUUGAACGAGGAAUUCCUAGUAAACGCGAGUCAUCAGCUCGCAUUGAUUACGUCCCUGCCCUUUGUACACACCGCCCGUCGCACCUACCGAUUGAAUGUUUCGGUGAAGAUUCCGGAUAGGACUUUUUUGAUUUAUUUCAAUUUUGUCUUAAAAGCUAUCUAAACCUCAACAUUUAGAGGAAGGUGAAGUCGUAACA